UGAAAGCAGGGUGUCCUGUCAUCUUAUCAAAAGACUGGAAGGCUGGAGAUCAGUACUGACAGAACCCUGCACACCUCGGAGACUCCGCGAGCACAUCACCAAUUAGGAUUCUUUAAUGAUUUCUUGUAUUAAUAAUAAAUGGCCCGGGUUUGGGGAGGGCGUGUGUCGGAUAUGAGUGUGUGUGAGCGCUGAAUGUGUGUAUUACUUCAUGCAGAAGGGGCUGAGUUUCAUAAUGGUGUCAGUGACAGUUUGUGGCAUUUGUGGUUACCCCUCUGUCCAAAUGCAAAAAGCUGUUAGAGGUCUCUGAGGAAACUGACUCCACAUUGGGUUUCAGCUGGAAAUCUGAAGAGUGGAGGCUCGUGAACUGCUGAGGUGGAUACCGGGAAGCUGGGGCUGCUUCAGAAAGACAUUUUCCUGGAAAAAGAAAGAAGAUCACACAAAGGCCCUGAGCUGAGAGGAAUGAUCUGGUUGGGGUGCCCUCUGGGUGAUUUGUUUUGGCAAGAAGUACUUCUUUGACAUGUGUAUGUGGCCAUGGUGUGUCGGCUUGCGGAGGCCACAGGGUGAGGUGGUGUGAUGUAUUGAACAAGACUGACCUUGGGAAGGGUCUGGCUUUCACUCCACAAUUCUCUGACCCUGCUCUUUCCCCAACGCUGGCUGCCAUCAUAACGAGUGCACUGAAAAAUGACUGGAUGGUGCUCUACUCCUUUGUCUCUGUGGAUUCACAUUGCUUCCAGUGUCAGAGGAGCGGCCUCCCCUGAAGCGCUGCUGAGCAUGGAAGCCUGCUUGGCAAGUGGAGAUAGUGGCCGUGUUACAGCAGGGGGUUCACAGAGUCAGCAGUCUGGAGAGAACAAAGCAACAUGCCUUGGGUUCUGUGACCUGCCUGGCUACAGCAGACGUUUGUGCAGUCCCUGCUCAGAUGUAAACUAAAAGAAGUGGGAGAACCAGCCCAAAGGAUAUUUCUUAUUGUUUACUACUACACCAUGGGACGCCCAUCCUGAGGAUUACAAGCUACAGUAUAUUCAUGCCCACAUCCACCCCUGGACACCAUCAACCCCACACCUGUGUCCCAUCUGCCAUAUCAGCUUCUCAUCCAUUCCCUGCCACUGCCUCUGGACACGUAUCCAGACAUGCCAUAGCCCUGAAAUGGGCCAAUCCAAGCAAAGGAAACAUUAAAGAAGAGAAGAGGAGACACCAGUGGGCAAAAGAGAUGCAGAGGAUCAGGGAGGAAGCUAUACGCCUCGUUCAUCUCUGUUUACUCCAGCUGUCUCCCAUGCCACAGACAGAAAGAACAAGAAGAGGGUGGAGAAACUGAGAAGCUGGAGAGUUACACACCAAGCAAGGAAGGCUGAAAGAGAGAGAAUGAUGAAGACAUGCCAGUGGACAAUGCGGUUUCGCAAGGGCAGGCGAUGGGGAAAGGGAGAACAGCAGCACAAAUCCACCGUCACCCCGUGGCUCCUGGGAAUGUGGCUCGGGGAACGGCACAGGGGAGAAAUCUCUCUGUUCGAGGCCCAGCUGAGAACAUUAUUGGAUUGGCCAGAUUAUGGGGAAGAAAGCAAAGAAAAAAGAAGGUCCAAGCAAGACGGAUUUAGCUCUAUGGUGACUGUCAGGGACAUGGUGGGAGUCUGCAGUGCUGAAUGCUCAUCAGGAGCUCCCACGGUGGAGGUUCACCCAUCCCAAGGGCACACCGCUUGCUUUGGCAUGGCAUGGGAUUACAGGCGGUCCAGUCUCAGCGGCGCCUCAGGUUGGCAGGAUAUUAAUUAAGUAAUUAUCAUGCCGUGAGGCGCAGCUAUGAAUUAUGCAUGAGGUCUUGAUUGGGACAUUUGUGAUUGUGUAAUCUAAUUUCAGCCAUAUGUCUGACGCCUUUAGCUGAGUGUCUAACAUCCGACAGCCCCCAAGCACAAAUAUACACAAAGACAUUUUCAGGGUUUCAAUUAUAUAUUUAAAAUUCUGACAUAUUCAAAUAUAGAAGUUUUUUUUCACACUGUGGACAAACGCUCAUCAUCAUCAUAAACAUUAUUGGAAAGACUGGAAUACCAAUAUGGGAUCGAUUUUUAUUAGGGGAGGCUGGGACUAGUCACACAUUUUUACUCUAAAAAAACAAACAAAAAAACACUCUACUCUAGAAUAUUUCUUAUGGUAUGUUCCUCAAAUUUAGUGUGUUCUUGGCUAAAGAAAAAAAGGUAAUGAAUAUUGUAACUUUUAUUGACUAA